GGGGGUGACAGGUCUCGACUCCGGAUGUCGAGGCAGGUGAAGCGGGCCGAGGAAGGCGACGAUGAUCUCGUUAACCACUAACGUCGCAAAAAAAUCAAGCGCCGAUUCCAAUCAGCGCGUUUCCGCCUACGCCCUCGCGGCCUAGGUAGGAGACUGUCAGCCUGGGAGAGCCUCCGGCCCAGGACCUGGCAUCGCUAGGAGGACCACCACCCGCUUUGGCCACGGGGGCGGGUGGUGAACCACCGUGGCUGAGCCCGUUCCCGAGCUGCUGGUGGCAUCGGGAGGGCCGAGAAAAUCACAGCCAGCUGCGCCCGGAGAAGCCCUGCUGAGGUACCGGAGGACGCGGGUUCGAUUCCCGCCACCUCCACGA
rnacentral:tmRNA from 1 species